UUUUGUUAAUUUGUUAUUUGCGUGCUCUAAAUAAUGGUAAUAAAAAUCUGACUAAAAUAAGGCAGGAAUUGUUUUUAAUUUUAAAUAAAAUAAAUUUUACAUUGUUAAUAAUUUAUAUUUAUUUUAAAAAUUUUUAUAACUUAUUUGUUAUUAGUAUUUAGGUAUAAAUUAUUUUUUCUUAAUAGCUUAAAAGUUGAAAAAUUAAAUCAGCCUAUGUUCACAUAAUUAUUUUAUUAGCUUCGAUGGGAAGCUGAGAAGUAUAGCACUUUAUGGAAAAAAAAGCAGUCAUGAAAAUACACUUAAUGAAAAAACAAUAAAAAAUUAAUUAUAUGAAAACCACCAGAAGUACAGACGAAGGAAAUUUACAACUAAUAAAACAAAAUAUUAUACUAAUUAAAAUGUUAUAUAUAUAUAUAGGGGGAUAAAAUUUUACAAUAGAAAUAAAAUAUAUCAAUUACUAUUUAGUUGGAAGUAUUAUAUUAUAUUGUUAAUUAAAAUAAUUAGUAGAAUUAUAUAAUUAAUGAAUUGUAAACCACUAAGCUUUUUAACCUACUAAUUUAACAUUUAUAUUUAAAAAGUUUUUAGAUAUUUUUUCUAUUAAUAAAUAAUAUCCGUCUCGUCCAUAAUUGGCUUAGAU